ACCCUCUCAAGAUCUCACCUGGAGAGUUCCCAUUACUCUACCGGUCUCGACAUUGGGAGGGAGAGUCAAGCUGAGGCAUUUUCAUUCCAUUCCUAGCUUGGGCAGUGACUAGCGACUGGAAGGCAAUCUGCUACAAAU